UACAGAGGUCUCAAGCGUUGUUCGGAUUCAUUGGGCGUAAAGGGUGCGUAGGCGGCGCGGUAAGUCGGGUGUGAAAUCUCGGGGCUUAACUCCGAAACUGCAUUCGAUACUGCCGUGCUUGAGGACUGGAGAGGAGACUGGAAUUUACGGUGUAGCGGUGAAAUGCGUAGAUAUGUGGAGGAAUACCGAUGGCGAAGGCAGCCUCCUGGGAUAACACUGACGCUCAUGCACGAAAGCGUGGGGAGCAAACAGG
rnacentral:rRNA from 1 species